rnacentral:rRNA from 1 species
UGGCGUCUUCGGCGUCCGCAUUGUAAUCUCAAGAAGUGUUUUCCGCUUCGGACCAUGCCUAAGUCCCUUGGAAAAGGGCAUCAUAGAGGGUGAUAAUCCCGUACAUGGCAGGGAGCGCCCGAAGCUUUGUGAUACGCUUUCUAAGAGUCGAGUUGUUUGGGAAUGCAGCUCAAAAUGGGUGGUAAAUGCCAUCUAAGGCUAAAUAUUGGGGAGAGACCGAUAGCGAACAAGUACAGUGAUGGAAAGAUGAAAAGAACUUUGAAAAGAGAGUUAAACAGUACGUGAAAUUGCCAAAAGGGAAGGGUAGGAGGUCAGAGAUGCGGCCUGGGAUUCAGCCUUGCUUUUGCUUGGUGUUUUUCCCAGAUUGCAGGCCAACGUCGGUUUUGGGCACUGGAGAAGGGUAGGAGGAACGUGGCACCUCUCGGGGUGUGUUAUAGCCUCCUACUGGAUACAGCGACCGAGACCGAGGACAGCAGCGUACUCGCAAGAGCGGGCCUUCGGGCACCUUUACGCUUAGGGCGUUGGCAUAAUGGCCCUCUACCACC